UGGCUGUCAGUUAUUCCCAUCAUCAGCAGAUGAGUUGAUGUUUGCAUCCAAGGCUGGAUGAUCAUUUCAUGGGCAGAUUCGGGCGGGGCAGGAUGGUGCGACCCAACUCUUCAUUUAACUUGACUGGAAGAGGUGGCAUCUGCUUCAUUACAUCAGGCAUAUCAUUCAACUCGCUCAUAAUCUUGAGAAUGUUGUCACGAGUU
rnacentral:misc_RNA from 1 species